rnacentral:rRNA from 1 species
AUGAUCAGCUUGCUGCAACUUCAAGCAGAACUGGAUGUGAAAUAUCAGAUGGAGAGAGAAUCCCGUGCAUCGGCAUUGAAUGUGCAGAUGGGUUUGGUUGAAGGGAUUAUUGACAUCUCUGACAGUGAACGCAACGAUGAAGUUAAUUUUGAAGAGUGGUCUGAUCCUGAGCAUGCUAAACUGGUUGAGACAGAUAGAAGGUUGAGAGAGCAAGAGGAGAAAGAUGCAGAGGUCGUGAAGAUGUAUCAGGAAAUGUAUGGCAAAAAUGAUGGGCACCAAGAAGUCUCAGGCACGGAUAAUGAUUCACUUGUUGAGAAGCACCGUAAGUUAAGGGAGCAAGAGGAAAAAGACACCAAGGUUGCAAUGAUGUAUCAAACACUGUAUGAUCAAAAUGCUACUGAAGCUCAGAUCACCAAUGUGCCAGCAAACAGAAUUCUUGCUCAGGCGGCAAAACCUGCAGGUCGGGAAAGAAGCCCCAUGGAGGGUGGGCGUAGAGGGCAGGGAACAUGA